GAGACCUUGGAGGACUGAAGUGGAGAAGGGUUUCGUGUGAACAGUGGUUGAUCACGAGUUAGUCGGUCCUAAGCUUAAGGCGAAAGCCAAAAAAUAUUUAAAGUUUUGCCCUUUGGUAAUAUAAAAUACUUUAAGUAUAUAAAUUAAGCGAAAGGGAAUACGGUUCCAAUUCCGUAACCUGUUGAGUAUACGUUUGUAAUAAAUAUGGUCAUUAUGAUCAUCCUGGUAACAGAAACAAUCAUAGAGAAGCCGUCGAGAGGUAUCGGAAGAGUUUUCUUUUCUGUUUUAUAGUUGUAUUACCAUGGAAAUCUUUCGAAGAGAGAUAUGGUAAAUGAACUAGAAGAGCAUGGCAUUUACUGCUGUGUCGAUAUUUUCUCCUCGGACCUUGAAAAUCUAUGAUUGGGCCACGCAAACUUCUCAACAGGCCGUACCAAUAUCCGCAGCUGGUCUCCAAGGUGAAGAGUCUC
rnacentral:rRNA from 1 species